rnacentral:tRNA from 1 species
GGGAGGGGUGCCGGAGCGGUUGAACGGGCCGGUCUCGAAAACCGGUAGGCCCCCCAAGGGGCCUCGCGGGUUCGAAUCCCGCCCCCUCCGCCA